CAAUAGCGUAUAUUAAAAUUGUUGCGGUUAAAAAGACUCGUAGUUGGAGUUCUGCCAGGUGCCGCCUGUCCGCCCCAGUGGUGAGUACGUGGCGCGCAUUUGGCCCUUUCAAGGGGAGCGUAUCUGCACUUUAUUGUGUGGUGCGGGAUCCUUGACUUUUACUUUGAGGAAAUAGGAGUGUUCCAAGCAGGCUCUCGUCGUGCACAGCUCAGCAUGGAAUAAUAGCAUUGGACCUCGAUUCUAAGCUGUUGGUUGCCAGAAGCGAGGUAAUGAUAGAAGAGGGAUAGGUUGGGGGCAUUCGUUAUUUAACUGUCAGAGGUAGAAAUUUCUUGGUAUUUAGUUAAAGGACGGACUACUGACGAAAGCUAUUU
rnacentral:rRNA from 1 species